CCAGUCUAAGCUGACCCACAGACUCAUAAAAACCAACAGGGACUCAGGCACCCUCACACAGGACACCCAAACUCUUGGACCAAAGGUGCAAGGACUUGCUCACAUCCAGGAUCUCGUUGCUUCCUUGGGGACCAAGAAAUUGAGUUUUUGCCGCUACAUUCACUCUGGCAAUCCACGAGGCUUAAUCGAUCUCGUUGGGAAAUUAGCUCUGCAACAACAGAGGCAGCCGGCUCAGUCACGCACCAGGCAGCAGGGGACCUCGGGCCCACGUCUGACUCCACACCACGGGGUUCAGGGCCAGAGACUCCGGGGUGCCCGCGGGCUCUCUCCAGAUUUGCCUGUUCCACUUUGUAUAAGUGACAUCAUACAACGUCUGGCUCCAUUCAGUUAGCACAAUGUUUUUGGGGUUCUUCAUGUUGUAGCCUACAUCAGAGCCUUAUUCCUUUUUCGGGGCUGAGUAAUAUUCCACUGGAUGGAGCUGCCACAUUUCAUUUGUUGUUCAUCAGCUGAUGGAUGCUUGGGUUGUUUCCAUUUCUGACUGUAUGAAUAAUGCUGCCAAGAACAUCUGUGUGCAGUUUGUAUGGACAUGUGUUUUCCACUUAAUUUCCAUAGCAACAAAUGGGCACUAUAAUCACUAAUUUAUUACCAAAACUGCAGCUCAGAGAGGUUAUGUGACUUUUUGAGAUGGAACAGCUUCUUUUGAUUUGGUUUGAUUAUGAUAGAAGGGCAAAUAAGAGGAAAUAAAGUGGAAUUUUACUUCACCUCUUCCAGGCCAUUAUACACCCCACUGAGUAAAAAGAAACUACAAGAGGAAUGAGGGCAAGUGCGUCAGCAGGUCUGCUGUAGGGCCCACUGGCCUUCUCUCGGGAGGUAGGUGGUGGGGACAGCCUCACGUUUGCCCUGCCCUGGCAUGGCUCUGAGGUCGGGGAGCAGGCCACCCCCCAUCCUGCUCCCCCUCCUCAGUGGUAGACGUGAGAACCGGUCAAGAGCAGCUCAAGACAAUUGCUGGUGUGGCUCAUCAGCCUGUGGGGAGCCAGAUGGGCAGUCUCUGCAGCAAGGUCUCCAUUCUGAGGGGCUUCCUGGGUGGGUACUGGCUGGUGACAAGAAGAGCUCCAGAGAGCGGAACUCAGCAUGGACCCAAGGGCGACUCGAUGGUGUGGAACAACAGGCUCAUUGAGGCUGCUGGCUCUGCUUCCCUCUGCCUCCAGGGCUUUCCCAGAAAGCACUUAGACAUGGGAGGGUGAGUGACGUGACGCCCCAUUAAUGUAACUCUGAUGGCUCUGCAGAGCCCUGGCCAGAGCUGGUAAUCAUUGACCAGCAGUUGCUCCCCAGGGCAGAGCAGUAGCUUCACAUGAACGCCGGCUCUCUAGAUGAUGGACUGCACCAUGGUUUAUCCUAGAGCCUUGGCCCAUUCAUCCUUUCUGGGAAGCGUGAUGCUGUCGCAUCCUGGACACUGGUACAGAGAAGCUCACAGACAAUGACUCAAUCGGAUCUUUCAUUCCAUGCAUGGCUGUAACUUGAAAGAGAAAUCAGAGCUGGGCAGUAUUACUAAAGACAUUAAAUAGCUUGAUCACUUUCCAUGAUCAAGUUUUGUCUAAGCUCUUUCUGUGCAUCUAUAAGACAGCUAUGAAUGUCCCCAUUUUGCAGAUGAGGAAAUUGACACACUGAGAGAUGGUUAUGAAGUGCCCCAUGUCAGAGCUUGUGAAUGACUGACUCCAGAUGCCAAACCACUUCUUAAAUCUUGCUGAGUUGGCCUCUUGAUGGAGGCGUGAAGUGAAACUUCAAACAUUAGCUAGAAUGUGGGACUAGAGGGCAUCCUCCUCCAUGCUCAGGAACCUGGUGCUCUGUGCCUUCUACUUGGCAAGUCUAUCAGAGCUGGGAUGCCAACACAAUGCCCUUUACAUGAGGGUGCAGCGUCAUGAAUACUGGGCCCCAAGUGCCUGUGUCAAGGCAUGAGCUAAAUUUUCCCAUUUUGUAAAUUGUCAAGGUUUGAAAUUCUAUAUGUUUUCUUAAAAACAAAGGGUACAUUCUUGUUGCAGACACUCAGGAAAGUAUGUUCAGGGUCUCCAGUCCACAUGCAAUCCAUUCGUUUUGGGGCUGGAAAUUCUGAGUUGAUGUAAUACCAACCCAGCCACAGAGAACUAGAUGGGUCAGGCUAAUAACAGGAUCUCUGCACACAUAAUAAAUACCACUUUUUGUAAACACUGAGAUUCUUUUAUUAAACUCCAGGGCCGUUUGGGGUGGGCAGCUCAAUAGAUGAGACUGAAGAAUCAUUUCAUUACAAAUGUGUCCAGUUUUCAGAAAAACAAACUGUCCCCCAACACGUAGACUUUCAUAAGAUAAACAAGUGAAUGAUUAUUUUAAUUGCAAAAAUUGUUCUUUACUUUAUAAAAUAAUUCAGCAAGGAGUUCUUUAAAUAUCUGAUAUCUUAAUGCAUAUGUAAUAUGACUCACUAUAGGCAAGCAAUUUCUGUUCAUAUGCCAUCUUUGGAGGCCGUUGUGUAUUGGUUUCAGUGUAAGAUUAUAUCUAGACAUGUUCAAUGAUAUUUUCAUUGUGAUGGAGUUCUUUUCAAUAGUGAUGAGAAUACAAAAGCCAUGAGAAUAGAAAUGCCUUUGGACCAUUGUGUUUAUUUAA